AACGAACGCUGGCGGCAGGCUUAACACAUGCAAGUCGAGCGCCCCGCAAGGGGAGCGGCAGACGGGUGAGUAACGCGUGGGAAUCUACCCAUCUCUACGGAAUAACGCAUGGAAACGUGUGCUAAUACCGUAUACGUCCUUCGGGAGAAAGAUUUAUCGGAGAUGGAUGAGCCCGCGUUGGAUUAGCUAGUUGGUGGGGUAAAGGCCUACCAAGGCGACGAUCCAUAGCUGGUCUGAGAGGAUGAUCAGCCACACGGGGACUGAGACACGGCCCAGACUCCUACGGGAGGCAGAAGUGGGGAAUAUUGGACAAUGGGCGCAAGCCUGAUCCAGCCAUGCCGCAUGAGUGAUGAAGGCCCUAGGGUUGUAAAGCUCUUUCACCGGUGAAGAUAAUGACGGUAACCGGAGAAGAAGCCCCGGCUAACUUCGUGCCAGCCGCCGCCGUAAUAC
rnacentral:rRNA from 1 species